rnacentral:rRNA from 1 species
AGUAGUGACCAAAUCGCCCUGCAUGUGCUCGAUCUCUUUGACUCUCAGAAGCUAAGUAGGGACUUCAGCCUGGGUUAGUACUUGGAUUGGAAACUUCCUGGGGAUAUACCAGAUGUUGUACGC